rnacentral:rRNA from 1 species
UUCUUAAGUAGUAAUUUAUUAAACUUAAAAUUUUGACGGUAUUUAAUCUUUUAGAGGAAUAUGUAAUUUAAUCGUCACUACACGUUAAUUUUACUUAUUUUAUUUUUGUAUAUCUCCGUUAAUAGAUAUUAUUAAAUAUUUUAAUAAAUAUCAUAAUAAGAAUGUUUAUUAUAUCAGGUCAAGGUGCAAAAUAUAUAAGGUAUUAUGUAUUACAUUCAUGAAUAAUGAGAUGGAUAAUUAUUGAAAUAUUUAUUUGAAAUUGAAUCUACAAGUAGAAUAAUAAUAAAGUUUUAUUUGAAAUAAUAUUAAAUAUGU